CGAGAAGACGGACCCCUCCUCGAGCCUCAGGUAGCAGAGGCCGGGUAGAACGUAGGCGAGCGGUACCGCAGCGAGGAUGCCGUUCAGCUCGAGGACGAUGCCCAGACAGUCCGUCGUCAUUGAGAUCAGAUUAGCAUCGGCCAGCGUAUACCGCCUGAACCAUGCGACUGUAAACAAGCGGAAACGCAAGCGUCGAUGUUUUUUGGACUUUAACUUAACGCGUCUGAAGCGUUCUGAAGCGUGUAUAUAUUUGCAUAUUAAAAUCAAUAACAAGCAAAAA